UGGGGAAUUUUUGGACAAUGGGCGAAAGCCUGAUCCAGCAAUGCCGCGUGUGUGAAGAAGGCCUUCGGGUUGUAAAGCACUUUUGUCCGGAAAGAAAUCCUUGGCUCUAAUACAGUCGGGGGAUACGGUACCGGAAGAAUAAGCACCGGCUAACUACGUGCCAGCAGCCGCGGUAAUACGUAGGGUGCAAGCGUUAAUCGGAAUUACUGGGCGUAAAGCGUGCGCAGGCGGNCUGCUAAGACCGAUGUGAAAUCCCCGGGCUCAACCUGGGAACUGCAUUGGUGACUGGCAGGCUAGAGUAUGGCAGAGGGGGGUAGAAUUCCACGUGUAGCAGUGAAAUGCGUAGAGAUGUGGAGGAAUACCGAUGGCGAAGGCAGCCCCCUGGGCCAAUACUGACGCUCAUGCACGAAAGCGUGGGGAGCAAACAGGAUUAGAUACCCUGGUAGUCCACGCCCUAAACGAUGUCAACU
rnacentral:rRNA from 1 species